ensembl:lncRNA
GUCUCACCUGGGCUCCAGAUCCCCCACAGGCUGAGAUGCAUGGGGCAUCUGCACUCAGAUAUCUCACAAGCCCUGCAGACCAGCUAGUAGCCCCAGGCCAACAUUCCCUGGCUCAUGGAUGGGCACUAGCAUCCACCCGAUUCCUUAAAACACAAUCCUGGCCAUGCUGCUGGGUGUGAUCUUCACCAUGCCAUGACUCCGCUGGAGCUGCUCUGGAAAAUGCUCACCCGAGAUCUUCCUGUUGCCACAGGCUAGACUCUUCAGUCAGUGUGGAAGAGAGGUGGUUGAAGCAGACCUCCUUUCCUUGGUCUGGAUCUCCAGAGGAAAGCAUUCACUCAAACACUACAAGAUGUGAUGUGACGCAAGCUGGAUAUUUCUUGGGGAUGUUCUUCAGCACAAUGAUGACGAUCCCUUCUAUCCCAAGUUGGCUGACCAUGUUUAUUGAUUUAGUUAAUUACUUAUUUAUCACGAACGGGUCUUGAAUUUUAUCAAAUGCUUUUUCUUUGUCAAAAUGGCAGGUGGUUUCUGUCCUUCAUUAUAU